UUCCGGUUGAUCCCGCCGGACCUGACUGCUAUCGGAUUGAUACUAAGCCAUGCGAGUCAUUGUAGCGAUACAAGGCAGACGGCUCAGUAACGCGUAGUCAACCUACCCUAUGGACGGGAAUAACCUCGGGAAACUGAGUAUAAUGCCCGAUAGAACACUAUACCUGGAAUGGUUUGUGUUUCAAAUAAUUUAUUGCCGUAGGAUGGGACUGCGGCCCAUCAGUUUGUUGGUGAGGUAAUGGCCCACCAAGACUAUUACAGGUACGGGCUCUGAGAGGAGUGGCCCGGAGAUGGGUACUGAGACACGGACCCAGGCCCUAUGGGGCGCAGCAGGCGAGAAAACUUUGCAAUGUGCGAAAGCACGACAAGGUUAAUCCGAGUGGUUUGUGCUAAACGAACCUUUUGUUAGUCCUAGAAACACUAACGAAUGAGGGGUGGGCAAGUUCUGGUGUCGGCCGCCGCGGUAAAACCAGCACCUCAAGUGGUCAGGAUGAUUAUUGGGCCUAAAGCAUCCGUAGCCGGCUCAGUAAGUUUUCGGUUAAAUCUGUACGCUUAACGUACAGGCUGCCGGGAAUACUGCAGAGCUAGGGAGUGGGAGAGGUAGACGGUACUCGGGAGGAAGUGGUAAAAUGCUUUGAUCUUUCGAUGACCACCUGUGGCGAAGGCGGUCUACCAGAACACGUCCGACGGUGAGGGAUGAAAGCUGGGGGAGCAAACCGGAUUAGAUACCCGGGUAGUCCCAGCUGUAAACUAUGCAAACUCAGUGAUGCAUUGACUUGUGGUCAAUGCAGUGUUGCAGGGAAGCCGUUAAGUUUGCCGCCUGGGAAGUACGUACGCAAGUAUGAAACUUAAAGGAAUUGGCGGGGGAGCAC
rnacentral:rRNA from 1 species